UCCGUGGACUAACUGUGUGAGGCUCUCAGUAAGUGUCCUAAGGUGGGAAUUUGACUUGGACCGUGGGCGGCAGUCACUCAGCUGGCGAGUCUAGCCACCCUCCAGCCACCACAUCUGAGCUGCCGUGGACGCCCCGUCCUUGCAAACAGAUGUAACGUCACCUCCUCGUGCUAAUGGUAGAGGGGAAGGAAGAGGAAACAGAUGGUGCUUGGCCAGAAUUUGACUGGAAGAAGCAGAUGCUGCUUCUGGCCCAGUGUGAAGGAGCUGGCCGGGAGCCUCGUGCUGGUGCUGCAGGACAGGAAGGCAGGGCAAGGCAAGAAGGCAGAACCAACCUCUUUCCCGAGAUGGCUCUUUUCUCCAACACUGCGAUCUUCUGGGACACAGGCACUUUCUCAGGGCUGG